rnacentral:rRNA from 1 species
AUUGAACGCUGGCGGAAUGCUUUACACAUGCAAGUCGAACGGCAGCACGGGGGCAACCCUGGUGGCGAGUGGCGAACGGGUGAGUAAUACAUCGGAACGUGCCCAGUCGUGGGGGAUAACGUAGCGAAAGCUACGCUAAUACCGCAUACGAACUCUGGUUGAAAGCGGGGGAGUCGCAAGACCUCGCGCGAUUGGAGCGGCCGAUGGCAGAUUAGGUAGUUGGUGGGGUAAAGGCUCACCAAGCCGACGAUCUGUAGCUGGUCUGAGAGGACGACCAGCCACACUGGGACUGAGACACGGCCCAGACUCCUACGGGAGGCAGCAGUGGGGAAUUUUGCGCAAUGGGCUAACGCCUGACGCAGCAACGCCGCGUGGAGGAUGAAGGUCCUUGGAUUGUAAACUCCUGUCAGCAGGGAAAAAGCAAACCUGACCUCAUACGUCAGGAAGUUGAUUGUACCUGCAGAAUAAGCACCGGCUAACUACGUGCCAGCCGCCG